GGGGUGCCACGCAAUGCACAUUUACCAGUGUGGCGAAAAAGCAACAUCAAGAGGUGUGGAGUAUCAAUGUAUCUGCCUACCAAACAAAGAAAGGAAGCUAACAGGCACCAAGACAGCAAAGUAAAGGGAAGCAAAAA